CGCUUUACCAAGGGGUGCCGGCAACGGCUGAGAUGCAUUAGCGAACCCUUAAAACCUGAUCCGGUUAAUACUGGCGUAGGGAUGGUAGAAAACCCGUCU
rfam:Idiomarina loihiensis L2TR, complete genome.